UACGUAGGGUGCAAGCGUUGUCCGGAAUUAUUGGGCGUAAAGAGCUCGUAGGCGGUCUGUCGCGUCGGCUGUGAAAACCCGGGGCUCAACCCCGGGCCUGCAGUCGAUACGGGCAGACUAGAGUGUGGUAGGGGAGACUGGAAUUCCUGGUGUAGCGGUGAAAUGCGCAGAUAUCAGGAGGAACACCGAUGGCGAAGGCAGAUCUCUGGGCCGUAACUGACGCUGAGGAGCGAAAGCAUGGGGAGCGAACAGG
rnacentral:rRNA from 1 species